CGCGCCCCUUCCCGGCCUCCCCGAACCCUAACCCUAGCGUGCCCGCCGAUCACCGCCCUCACCUCCCGCCGCCGGCCGCCGCCCUCUGCCCCGGAGAGAGACGCCCUACGCGGCGCAUGGAUUUGCCGCACCCACCUGCCGCGGUCGCAGCACCUCGGUCCGCGCCCCGCCGGCCGCCUCCGUGCCCUGUGCCUGCCCGUCAGCCGCUGACCGCCGCCACCACCUAUGGCUCGCCGCCGUAAAGGUUUAGCCUGGUGCUCCGGCGGCGCAAACCCGGAUCCCCGCCGGGCACGCGCCGGUCCUCCCUCUCUCUGUCACCCGGCGACGCCCCUCUCUCGCUCCUCACAGCCACAGCCACCCGCGCCGCCGCUGCCGCUACUGCUGACCCAUAGCGGAAGGCCUGUUGGCGGCUCCACCCCUCCCCGUUGGCGAAGGAAGGGGGCGGCGCCGGGCGGCAUGACACGGAGGCCGCUCGCCUUCCGCCAGGCGCCGCACUGUCCAUCGCUGACCCCUCCGCCUCCAACUGUGCACGGCGGUCCCGGCUGGCUCACCACAGCGCACCUCCGGCGGGAUGACAACACCAAGCUCAGGCGCGCCGCUUCGAGUUGUGCUAUGGGGCCAUCAAAUCGACAACGCCCUGGGAGGGAUUGGUUUUCCCUGCCAUGGAGGCGCACCCAAAUCUGAUUUCUCUCUCCCAACCCCAUCAAUUUGCAUCUUGAUUGAUGGCCGUUGAGCCCCUGGUGUCUUGGACCCAGAUUUCUAUCUGAUUUUUUUUGCAUCAGGGCAUAAAUUGAUCUACUAGGUCUUUAUUUUUUAUUUGUUGUUGAUCGUUUUCUCUCCCGAAAUCACCUGUUACCUUCCCAAUAUUGGAAUUGAAAUCCUUCCUGUGCGCUCUUUUCUUUUCUAUAAAAUUAAAUUGCAAAUCCUAACCCUAGCCAUUUAUGUACUCAUAUUUCUCUACAGAUCUCAGCAAGCGUCAAUGAGAUUGCCGGACUUCAAGGGAGCAUCAGUUGGAACUAUUUUUGGAAAUUGUAGCUUUCAUGACACAUCAGGUAGUAGAAAUUAUGUACUUGCUUUGUCAAUAACUUAUUUCUCAAUACUUCCCUCAUUUUACUCAAACCUGAUCACCUGGGUCAAGAUGGGAUGUCAAUUGGUCACUAAACCUUUAGGGACUCCAUAAUUUGAACUACAAAAUUGUAGAGCUCCAAUAUGGGUUUUUAUCACAAGUUAAUAGUUAUGUUCUACACCUUCUCUUGAUAUACUUGAGAUGGAGAUCCUAUCCAGUAUUGAUUUGCAUACAUCUCAAACCUGUGCUGCUGUGCACAUUCAGAUAUAUGGGUUCCAAUAUGUGUCAUGUCUCAGAUUAAUACAACUUAUUUUAGUACAAUAGUAGAAUUUUAGAAGAUACGAAGGUGAAGUCACUUCAGCCUAAGCAUAAUAGAUCUCUCAUUUUAAGCCAUGAUAAGUUUGGUCUAUUUUUAUUUCCUCUUUUUUUUGCAGCAUUUUCUUCCCCUGCCAAUAGCGGAUUAUUUGUUCCAUUCGAUUUUGAAUGUUGCUCCAUCGAUUCCUGCUUACUUACACUUCAGCUAGGGAAGUAAGCAUGCAACUUUGUACUAAUGGACUUCGAGAUGAUCAGUAUAAGGAGGAGACAAUAAUAUAUCAUCGUAGCUGGCAUCAUUUUUGCUUAAGUGAACCUUCAGUGUAGAUGUACUUUUACUUCAUGCCUAUAGUGCCGUUCCUGCUUAUGUUUAUUUUUUUUCCUUCAAUUAUUUUGGUUGGCAUUCCUCAUAGGAUAUUCAUGAUCUGUGUACAAGAAUCCAUGAUCUUAAUACCAAAAGGUAGAUAUGGAAAUCAUGUUUCCAUAAA